rnacentral:rRNA from 1 species
CCUGGCUCACGACGAACGCUGGCGGCGCGCCUAACACAUGCAAGUCGAACGGAACUUGAGAGAGCUUGCUUUUUCAAGUUUAGUGGCGAACGGGUGAGUAACGCGUGAGUAACCUGCCCUGGAGUGGGGGACAACAGUUGGAAACGACUGCUAAUACCGCAUAAGCCCACGGUACCGCAUGGUACUGAGGGAAAAGGAUUUAUUCGCUUCAGGAUGGACUCGCGUCCAAUUAGCUAGUUGGUGAGGUAACGGCCCACCAAGGCGACGAUUGGUGGCCGGACUGAGAGGUUGAACGGCCACAUUGGGACUGAGACACGGCCCAGACUCCUACGGGAGGCAGCAGUGGGGGAUAUUGCACAAUGGGGGAAACCCUGAUGCAGCGACGCCGCGUGGAGGAAGAAGGUUUUCGGAUUGAAAACUCCUGUCGUACGGGACGAAUCAUGACGGUACCGUACAAGAAAGCCACGGCUAACUACGUGCCAGCAGCCGCGGUAAAACGUAGGUGGCAAGCGUUGUCCGGAAUUACUGGGUGUAAAGGGAGCGCAGGCGGACCGGCAAGUUGGAAGUGAAAUCUAUGGGCUCAACCCAUAAAUUGCUUUCAAAACUGCUGGACUUGAGUAGUGCAGAGUUAGGCGGAAUUCCCGGUGUAACGGUGGAAUGCGUAGAUAUGGGAGGAACACCAGUGGCGAAGGCGGCCUACUGGGCACCAACUGACGCUGAGGCUCGAAAGCAUGGGUAGCAAACAGGAUUAGAUACCCUGGUAGUCCAUGCCGUAAACGAUGAUUACUAGGUGUUGGAGGAUUGACCCCUUCAGUGCCGCAGUUAACACAAUAAGUAAUCCACCUGGGGAGUACGACCGCAAGGUUGAAACUCAAAGGAAUUGACGGGGGCCCGCACAAGCAGUGGAGUAUGUGGUUUAAUUCGAAGCAACGCGAAGAACCUUACCAGGUCUUGACAUCCGAUGCAUAGUACAGAGAUGUAUGAAGUCCUUCGGGACAUCGAGACAGGUGGUGCAUGGUUGUCGUCAGCUCGUGUCGUGAGAUGUUGGGUUAAGUCCCGCAACGAGCGCAACCCUUAUUGCCAGUUACUACGCAAGAGGACUCUGGCGAGACUGCCGUUGACAAAACGGAGGAAGGUGGGGAUGACGUCAAAUCAUCAUGCCCUUUAUGACCUGGGCUACACACGUACUACAAUGGCGUUUAACAAAGAGAAGCAAUACCGCGAGGUGGAGCAAAACUCAAAAACAACGUCUCAGUUCAGAUUGCAGGCUGCAACUCGCCUGCAUGAAGUCGGAAUUGCUAGUAAUCGCGGAUCAGCAUGCCGCGGUGAAUACGUUCCCGGGCCUUGUACACACCGCC